UGGGGAAUAUUGGACAAUGGACCGAGAGUCUGAUCCAGCAAUUCUGUGUGCACGAUGAAGUUUUUCGGAUUGUAAAGUGCUUUCAGUUGGGAAGAAAGAAAUGACGGUACCAACAGAAGAAGUGACGGCUAAAUACGUGCCAGCAGCCGCGGUAAUACGUAUGUCACGAGCGUUAUCCGGAUUUAUUGGGCGUAAAGCGCGUCUAGGUGGUUAUGUAAGUCGGAUGUGAAAAUGCAGGGCUCAACUCUGUAUUGCGUUGGAAACUGUAUAACUAGAGUACUGGAGAGGUAAGCGGAACUACAAGUGUAGAGGGGAAAUUCGUAGAUAUUUGUAGGAAUGCCGAUGGGGAAGCCAGCUUACUGGACAGAUACUGACGCUAAAGCGCGAAAGCGUGGGUAGCAAACAAG
rnacentral:rRNA from 1 species